rnacentral:rRNA from 1 species
UGGGGGAUAUUGCACAAUGGGCGAAAGCCUGAUGCAGCGACGCCGCGUGGGGGAUGAAGGCUUUCGGGUUGUAAACCUCUUUCGCUAUCGAACAAGGCCCGCUUAGGGUGGGUUGAGGGUAGGUGGAGAAGAAGCGCCGGCUAACUACGUGCCAGCAGCCACGGUAAUACGUAGGGCGCGAGCGUUGUCCGGAAUUAUUGGGCGUAAAGGGCUUGUAGGCGGGUUGUUGCGCCUGCUGUGAAAACGCGGGGCUUAACUUCGCGCGUGCAGUGGGGACGGGCAGGCUUGAGUGUGGUAGGGGUGACUGGAAUUCCAGGUGUAGCGGUGGAAUGCGCAGAUAUCUGGAGGAACACCGAUGGCGAAGGCAGGUCACUGGGCCAUUACUGACGCUGAGGAGCGAAAGCAUGGGUAGCGAACAGG